rnacentral:rRNA from 1 species
ACGCUAGCGACGUGCCUAAGGUAUGCAAGUCGAAUGCCGAUUUAUCGGCAUGGCAGACGGCUGAGUAACACAUGGGAAUCUACCUCAAACUCGAGAAUAGCCCAUCGAAAGGUGGUGUAAUACUCGAUAGUUCCGUUUACGGUAAAGCUCCGGCGGUUUGAGAUGAGCCCAUGUCCUAUCAGGUUGUUGGUGGGGUAAUUGCCUACCAAGCCUAUGACGGGUAGCUGGUUUGAGAGGAUGAUCAGCCAGACUGGGACUGCGAUACGGCCCAGACUCCUACGGGAGGCAGCAACUAGGAAUCAUGCGCAAUGGACGAAAGUCUGACGCUGCGACGUCGCGUGAGGGAUGAAGGUCUUAGGAUCGUAAACCUCUUUUAUCUGGGAACAAGUUCUGAGUGUACCAGAUGAAUAAGUGCCUGCCAACCACGUGCCAGAAGCAUCGGUAAUGCGUGGGGCACGAGCGUUAUCCGGAUUUACUGGGCGUAAAGAGACGCGUAGGCGCCUUUCUAAGUCACUUGUAAAAUCUCCCCGCUCAACGGGGAAACUGCAAGUGAUACUGAAUUGGUUGAGUCAAGUAGAGGAGAGGGGAAUUCCUGGUGGAGCGGUUAAAUGCGUUGAUAUCAGGAGGAAUACCAAGUGCGAAGGCACCUCUCUGGACUUGUACUGACGCUAAGGCUCGAAAGUGUGGGGAGCAAAACGGAUUAGAUACCCGUGUAGUCCACACUGUAAACGAUCCCUGCUAGAUGUUUG